rnacentral:lncRNA from 1 species
AGAGGCACGUUCGAAGCACUCAGAGAAGCUCUUUGCUGCAGCCCAGCGGCCACGGAUAGAGCCUGGGAAGUGGAGAAGGAGCUGCUCCGAGAGGGUCCCAGGGAGCAGGGGGACCCCAGGCGUGGCCCUGGCCCUUGGGAUCUCUGGGACCAGGCCUGGACCCUCGAAAGGGCGCGGCUGAUCCUGCCUAGGGGCUUGCUCUUGGCCGCCACUUCUCCUAGGCGGACUCCUCUAAUCCAGUAUGACAGCUCGAAGGCAGAGUUUGUCCUGCCAUCCCUGCGCCCCCACCCGCAGGACCUGGCCCUGCAGCAUCUCAGGGAAGGCAGCAGAGUUGAUCUGGUGCUUG